rnacentral:rRNA from 1 species
UGAACGCUGGCGGCAUGCCUAAUACAUGCAAGUCGAACGAGGUCAAGGGAGAGCUUGCUCGAGAUGACCUAGUGGCGAACGGGUGAGUAACACGUGGGCAAUCUGCCCGUAUGUCGUGGAUAACGGUUGGAAACGACAGCUAAUACAGGAUGAGCAUCCCGAAGGCAUCUUUGGGAUGUAAAAGGGGCUUAGGCCCCGCAUACGGAUGAGCCUGCGGUGCAUUAGCUAGUUGGUGAGGUAACGGCCCACCAAGGCGAUGAUGCAUAGCCGACCUGAGAGGGUGACCGGCCACAUUGGGACUGAGACACGGCCCAAACUCCUACGGGAGGCAGCAGUAGGGAAUUUUCGUCAAUGGGGGGAACCCUGAACGAGCAAUGCCGCGUGAGUGAAGAAGGUCUUCGGAUCGUAAAGCUCUGUUGUAAGAGAAAAACGGUCUCCAUAGGAAAUGAUGGAGAAGUGAUGGUAUCUUACCAGAAAGCCACGGCUAACUACGUG